rnacentral:rRNA from 1 species
AGCGAACGCUGGCGGCAGGCUUAACACAUGCAAGUCGAGCGGGCAUAGCAAUAUGUCAGCGGCAGACGGGUGAGUAACACGUGGGAACGUACCUUUUGGUUCGGAACAACUGAGGGAAACUUCAGCUAAUACCGAAUAAGCCCUUACGGGGAAAGAUUUAUUGCCAAAAGAUCGGCCCGCGUCUGAUUAGCUAGUUGGUAGGGUAAUGGCCUACCAAGGCGACGAUCAGGAGCUGGUCUGAGAGGACGAUCAGCCGCACUGGGACUGAGACACGGCCCAGACUCCUACGGGAGGCAGCAGUGGGGAAUAUUGGACAAUGGGCGCAAGCCUGAUCCAGCCAUGCCGCGUGAGUGAUGAAGGCCCUAGGGUUGUAAAGCUCUUUUAACGGGGAAGAUAAUGACGGUACCCGUAGAAUAAGCCCCGGCUAACUUCGUGCCAGCAGCCGCGGUAA